rnacentral:rRNA from 1 species
GACGAACGCUGGCGGCGUGCUUAACACAUGCAAGUCGAACGGAAAGGCCCUGCUUGCAGGGUGCUCGAGUGGCGAACGGGUGAGUAACACGUGGGUGAUCUGCCCCUUACUUUGGGAUAAGCCUGGGAAACUGGGUCUAAUACUGGAUAGGACCAUGCUGUAGGUGGUGUGGUGGAAAGAUUAGUUUCGGUAAGGGAUGAGCUCGCGGCCUAUCAGCUUGUUGGUGGGGUAAUGGCCUACCAAGGCGUCGACAGGUAGCCGGCCUGAGAGGGUGGACGGCCACAGGGGAAAGGAGGUAGGGCCCAGGCCCCUAAGGGGGGCGGGAGGGGGGAAUUGUGCAAAGUGGGGGAAAGCCUGAUGCAGGAACGCCGCGGGGGGGGGGAGGGCCUUGGGGUUGAAAACUCCUUUCACCCAUGAAGAAGCCCUUGUGGGGGCGGUAGGGGAGAAAAAACCACGGGCAAACUAGUU